GAGCAACAAGGCAAGCAACCAUUUUGAUCAUCCCGAUAAAUCCCAUGUUCUCGCUCCUACUCUUACUUAUUGCAUUAGGAUCAAAUGCUUCAAAUGCUUUUGCCACGUUAGUUGAACCCACUUCCUUUGCAUGACCUGUCCUUGUCACAGUAAAUAGCUGAACCUUGCAACCUAGCAUACCUGGUAGAUGCUUGAGCCAUGAUGUGCCUUAUCCUUCUGUGCAUGCUAUGCUUAGAGUUGUGUAUGGUCUGUCAUCUGGGUGAUGAACAGAAUUGUUAGAAUGUGUUCAGUAAGUAAAGGUUGUGUGGUUGAACCUGAUUUGGUAAAGGUACCGGUGAAAGGCUAUGUAGGAGUACAUGGCGGGUUGUUUCAUUGGAACCGUCCUUAGGAACUGAGUUCCGUGUAUGUAAUCCAAGACUAGAUUCUACCACACGUUGGGAUACUUAAUUGACCCUCUCGACUUGUUAAUCGCUUAGUACUCGGUCCAGGAGUUGCAAGUAGUUUCUGGUGUUUAUA
rnacentral:lncRNA from 1 species